rnacentral:rRNA from 1 species
AUUGAACGCUUGCGGCAUGCCUUCCACAUGCAAUUCGCACGGCAGCACGGGAGCAAUCCUGGUGGCACGUGGCGAACGGGUGAGUAAAGUAUCGGAACGGGCCCCGCCCUUGGGGAUAACCUAGCGAAAGUUACGCCAAUACCGCUUACGGGACAUGGAUGAAAUCGGGGGAUCGCAACCACUCGCGCGGUUGGAGAGCCCGAAAUCGGAUUUGGAAGUUGGUGGGGUAAAGGCUCACCACGCCGCCGAUCUGUAGCUGGUCCGAGAGGACGAGCAGCCACACUGGGACUGAGACACGGCCCAGACUCCUACGGGAGGCAGCAGUGGGGAAUUUUGGACAAUGGGCGCAAGCCUGAUCCAGCCAUGCCGCGUGCAGGAUGAAAGCCUUCGGGUGGUAAACUGCUUUUGUACGGAACGAAAAGGCUCUGGAUAAUACCUGGGGCUCAUGACGGUACCGUAAGAAUAAGCACCGGCUAACUACGUGCCAGCAGCCGCGGUAACAC